rnacentral:misc_RNA from 1 species
AACGCACAUUGCACCCGCCAGUACUCUGGCGGGUAUGCCUGUUCGAGCGUCAUCUCAAACCUCAAGCUUUUGCUUGCUGUUGGAGCGCUCCGGUUCGCCGGAGGCCCCGAAUCCUAGUGGCGGAGCGCUGUUGGGCUCUGAGCGUAGUACUGUUUCUCGCUGCUGAGCUCCGGCGUCGCCUGCCGUAAAAAUCACCCAAAACACAAGGUUUGACCUCGGAUCAGGUAGGGAUACCCGCUGAACUUAA